CCUCCUGCGCCGAGGAGGAGGCCUACCCCCUCCAGCUCCUCUCUCUUGCUUCUUAGAUACAGGGAAUCAAAGAGUCUGACGGGACUUUAAAAGAUCCGCAUCAGCUGGUCAUCGGGACACAGGCCUGGGGAAGAGUCGCAUCUCUACUGCUCAGGCGCACACUUGCUCGCUUGCUCACUCUGCCCUGGGGCCAGACUCACCUGCUGCAGCAUGAGUGCCUGUUGCUGCUGGAGCAAGGCCUGCAGCUGUGGGGGCGACAGGAUCUGCUGCAUCUGUUGGGGGAAGGCACCGCAUGGCCAGGGCCUGACCUUCUCAUCCUGGGAGGACUGAACUGGAGAUGGACAUGGCCCAGGCAGGGAGACAGCCCAGACACCAUAGGGCUGUGAGUCACGAGAGACACAGCGAGAGAGGAAACACAAACAGGGGAGUAG